rnacentral:rRNA from 1 species
GUGCCAGCCGCGGCGGUAAUACGUAGGUGGCAAGCGUUGUCCGGAUUUAUUGGGCGUAAAGCGAGCGCAGGCGGUUUUUAGGUCUGAUGUGAAAGCCUUCGGCUUAACCGGAGAAGUGCAUCGGAAACCGGGAGACUUGAGUGCAGAAGAGGACAGUGGAACUCCAUGUGUAGCGGUGAAAUGCGUAGAUAUAUGGAAGAACACCAGUGGCGAAGGCGGCUGUCUGGUCUGCAACUGACGCUGAGGCUCGAAAGCAUGGGUAGCGAACAGGAUUAGAUACCCUGGUAGUCCAUGCCGUAAACGAUGAGUGCUAAGUGUUGGAGGGUUUCCGCCCUUCAGUGCUGCAGCUAACGCAUUAAGCACUCCGCCUGGGGAGUACGACCGCAAGGUUGAAACUCAAAGGAAUUGACGGGGCCCGCACAAGCGGUGGAGCAUGUGGUUUAAUUCGAUGCUACGCGAAGAACUUACCAGGUCUUGACAUCUUCUGCCAACCUAAGAGAUUAGGCGUUCCCU